CCGGCCCAUUUAGCGUAGAAGCGACGCGAAACCCAUUAUGAUUCAAACAAACGGACUCUUACAGAAUCAUCUGAUAGACCGCCGCUAAUGGUCGAGCAUUCAUGCUAACCUACUCCAACCUACAGAGAAGCAUUACCUAAUUAUUAUUAUUCCUGGGUCACCUUUCGCAGUUUACUCGUCGUCGCCUUCCUUUCCCAAAAAGCACAGAACCAUCUAGCAACAACCGCAACCCCAAUUCCUUCCUCCUCCGAAACCUCUCUCUCUCUCUCUCUCUCUCUCUCUCUCUCUCUCUCCAAAUCAGCUAUGCAGCACGGAGAUUACUCCUCCGCCCCAUACUAUCAGUACCCUCCCUAUCAAAACCCUAAUUCUAAUCCCAACCCCAACCCCAUCCCUACCACCACUGAUCACCACCACAACCCCUACGCCUCCGCACCGCCCUUCACCGCCUCCGAUUACACCCCCUAUUCCCAAUCCUACCCUCCAUAUUCUCAAAUUCCCGAUCCUGCCCCCCAACCGCUCCUUCCUAUUCCCCUCCAAUCUCCAACCCUAACUUGCCGCCCUUCAAUCCCACACCCCAACCGCCUUCUUUCCCGUCGUUUGAGACCCACGCGCCGUACCAACCACCGCCGCCGCAGCAGUCCUAUCAUCCUUCGUACGAUCAACCCCAAUCGGCUCCAUCUUACGCGCCAAUUCCCGCGAACACUAACGUCAAUUCAAACCCCUCUUAUCCAGCUCCGUUUUCGAAUCCAGGAUCCCUAGCCGCCGCGCCGCUGUACGAAAGCCCCUACGAGAAUUUGGCGAAAUUCGAUCACGGCGGCGCGUCGUAUUUAGACGAUAGGUACGGUGGUGGCGGCUACAACCGGAGCCAGUCCGAUUUGGGAUCGGAUCUGUAUGGGAAGCGAUACGAUUCAGGUCGGAGUGAAAGUUACGGCGACGGUGUUUAUGCUUACCAAGGUGACAAGGUGGAGCCCUAUGGGGCUCGCGGCACGGCGCCAAAGUCGUCGAGCUCGGCUUUGUUUGAUGAUUACGGGAGGGCGAUUAGUUUCCCUUCAGUUAAAGAGUCGUCG
rnacentral:lncRNA from 1 species